AAACAUACAUUUGUCACACAACGUCGAAGCUGUUUGAUGCCGGAACUGAAGCAAAACAGAAUUAUAGCUGUAGUUUCCUGAGCUGUAGGGUCAGAGAGCUGCAAUAUGCUGCAUCCCCUCUAAAACAAUAGGCUGCGGUUCCAAAGAUUCGACUGGCUGCCAGGAUGCAGCACGGCUGCAGAAAGGUUGUUUAGCUUCCACAAAACUAUUUCUGACAGAUUAAGUUGUGAGAGGAUUUGGCUGGUUGCACAAGCAUUUAUGGAGACUAGAAUGCGUUCUAGCAGUGUGUGGAGGGAGUCAUGGAGUAAAUGUGUUGGUGUGUUUGACCUCAGGUUGGAGAUUAAGGUCACAGCCUUUCUGUCAAGCAGCGCAACAUGAGUAAUGUUUUAAUGUGAACUUAUUAUCUCUGCCUUUAUGGACAAACUGUGCCUGGAGAUGGAGAGGAGGCCAUUAUUACCUGGACUGACUCGACUCUGGACAAGAACUAAUUUUUUUACUAGGUCGGUGUUGGAUGUGCAGGAGUCAAGACCAGAGAUACAAACUUCCUGAUUUUACUGCUACAAUCAACCCACAGAUGGGACAGAUGCUAAGGGAGUUAAAUUCCCCACCUCCACCUGUUGUCAACAAUCACUCUGCCUACAGCUACAGCUAACCCGACACACCAGCCCUCCCAGUUAAACGCUCUUCCUGCUUCGGCCCGCGCCUGCAUUGCAGAGGCUGUCCGGACUCCGAUUGAUUUGUAGCCAUUGAGGGAAAACUGAUUCGUUACCGAGAGAACGGACGUCAGCAAUCGCCCUCAGAUUUUUAAGUGAGAGGUAACACUUCUGAAGAAAGAGGCAGAGACAGCAAGAGAGGACAAGACAUACGGUGAGGCAUUUACAAAAUGGAAUACCUUCUCUUUGUAAUUUUCUAUGCAGCAUAAAAAGGCAUCUUGUGCAUCACGUCUGUUAUCACAGCUCCUUUCCUUGUGGCAUUUGAGAAACGACUCUGCAAAAAGAGGAUUCCCUGUGAAUUUUAAGUAGCUGGGAGUAAUACACAACCAUCAUCUUUUUUGGGGUUUGCAUUACUUUUUUAUCAAAGCUCAAGUUCCCGUGUUGCAUUGUAAACAAGAACAAGGAUAAAGCAAACCGAUUGUGAGGGCUGCUGUUCAGCUGCUGGAGCCGUGUAAAGCUACCGAAUGCAAUCAGCGGUAAAAGCUUUAUUUUCAAGGUAAUGAACCCUCCUCAGGGUAUGUGUGAUUUAUGCUCCCUAUUCAAACCACUCUGAAUCGCCCAGAACCGCCUCUGACUCAGUUAUGACCUUAGAAUACCUAUCUGCUCAACCUCCUACAAACAGAACAAAGAUAUUCUUUUGCUGCAACAGAAGCCAGCUCAUAUAUUUUUGUUUUCUGUCAAAUAUGAUCUAAUUAGUUGAUGAAAUUGAGCCCUAAACGGAUUGUACUUCUCUCAAGAGUAGUUUAAUUCAUCUCCAGACUGUAAGGAAGUGUAAAAGCUCAAGGUAGUUUUACAAUACAUAUAUUUACAAAGCAUACCAUCCUUUCCUUUGAUUGCCAAUUAGAGAAUAAAACCCAAUUAGAGAUGAUUCAACUUAUGGCAUUUAAAGGGAAAUAUACUAUGCCUUACAAAGGAACCCUUUAUUUUGUUAAUAUUUGGUUACAUUAUUCCCACAGAUUGUAAUGCAUUUUGAGUAGCACGAAUUGGUGAAAAUUUGUAAAAUGGAAAGAAAAUGUUUUUCAAAAAUGUUAAACAUUUGCCUUUGUGUUAAUGUGUUUAACUAUUCUACUCCUAAAUUAAAUUCAUUGCAACCAAUUUUCUACUAUUUAUCUUUUUUUCCCCCCCACUACUUUUUGUAACUCAAUUUAAAAUAUUUUUUUGCAUUUAGAAUACAGUUUUCUGAUGAAUAUGUCAACAUAAAUGAUAAGAGAUUCAGAUUUCUGAUGAGCUCUGAGAAUCAGGAAUAUUAGUUCUGAGGGAAACUGUAAACCUGAAAAAGAAUACAUCACAAAAAGUCAUCAGAGUUACAAGUAAGAGAUGAAAAAAAUAUUAUAUUAAGUAAAUAGAAAAGUGAAAUAAAUAUAAAUCUUAAAAUUAAGGAAGCAACUGAAUAUGGAAUACCAAGAGUGACAAAUUCAAAAAUGUCAUGAAUACUUUUGCAAAGAGUCUUAUUUCAUUUGUUUCAGCUGAGAAAGAAACCUACUUUUGGUUAUAAAUGCAGUGAGCUUUGUAACACCAGCAGGGAUUGUUCAGAGAACUCAUUCAGACAAACCGUCCCUGCUGGUUUUUAUUGGAUGAGCAUAAAAAGGUGAUGAGAGUUUGCUGGAUAAACGGAGCUUAUUAAUCAUUAGCAUCAUUAAAAACAUGCAGCUUCUUUAAGAAAAUCUUAAAGAACAGGAUCAUUGUGCCAAACAAGAAAAAUGUUAUAACUCUACUACUUGAUGGACUAAACUGUGAAAGGGAUUUCAGAAGGUAAUGUGGAGUUAUUACACUUUCCUCAAAUUAAAAAUAACUCGUUAUCUUUCUACUGUGAGCAAUAUCUAAACUGCCAUUUUAAUUAACUCUGACUCAUCUAGAAAAAUGUAAUAUGUCCAGUUGCACAAUAAAUGUUCAUUAUUGAAAACAACUGGUUGUUUUCCAUCAACACUAACAUGCACUGUGUGACUUUCUGAUCACCUGUGGAAUAAAGCUACUGUAAACACAAGAUUGAUCAAAAAAGACAUUUUUAUACUCGUCUUUGAGGUUGGCAGGGUUUGUGCUUGGCAGAAAAUGUGCCACUUUCAAUAGCUUGCAUCACCAACCAUAGAGCUAUAAACUGUCAAUGGAGUCCUUGAUGAAAACUGAUGUUCAUAUCAUGUGUCUGGAGAGCGAUAGCUCCGUUUGAAAGCAAGGAAACAGCCGGAAGUUGGUCAGACAUGGGGCGUCUGUGUGCUGUGAUUGAUAUCAACCAAAGCAUCCAGAGCCUUUAGAUAUUGCAACAUCAAUAUUCCUGCAGGAUUCAGGUGUCUGCACCGAAAGGGGGGAGGUGACAAUAGAAGGGACUGGUUGUCUCCUGUGGACCUCAACGUCCUGUCUGCUUUGAGAUUUCUACACUGAAGCAAUAUUACAGAUGAAAACUGUCUUAUUAAUUUAUGGUGCUCAUUUAGAAAAUCAACUGAUAAUAUUCAAAUGGUUUGAAACAUUAAGAAAAUCUCAAUCAAAUAUUGCCAUUUUUUAAAUAGAGUUACAGAGUUUAAAACUGUAAAGUGGCCCCUUUAUACACAAACCUGCAUAAAGUCUUAAAGUAUCAGAUAUGAAAUAGAAUAUAGAUAAAUCAAAGGUAAACCUUUUCUUUUUCUUAAUAAUGAUCAUUCUCUGAUGUGCUGGAGGUCAUUUUAGAGUGAAGCAAUGCUAUCAUGCUGUUGCAGUGUCUUGUACUGUUUCCCUGUUAUUGUUUUGGAUAUUUUUUAGUUUUGUUGCACAUAAAACAAUAAAUAUUUACAGUUUUUAGGACUAGUGGGCUUUUUAACCCAUAAAAAUAUGUUGAUCUAAACCAGUGGACUUUUUAUUUUUGUUGUCCUGUAUCUUGUGCUCCAGGCAAACAAAACAACAGGUUUUACAUUCAGUAAUGUGCUCCUUUGACCUUUUAUUGUUUGUUCACUAACAAACCUCUCAGGCCUUCAAAGAACAGAAUGAUUUAGAGUAAGGUUCAACAUUUUAGAUUAGAUGACCUUUAAAGGGGAUUAUUUUUAGGAACAUCAGAGUAAAAGUAGCUGAAAACAGCACAAACUUUCAGACUUUCUAAAUUUUAUGUCUAACUUUUCUUCCAGUUUACAAUAGUGUGCUACUUCGUGUUGGUUUAUCACAAAAAAUCCCAAUAUAAUAUUGCAACAUCAAUAUUGCAAUAUUGAUGGAGGCUUGGAGCGAAUUUUGUGGCUUUAAUGUGACAAACUGAAGAAAAGUUCCAGUUGUCUGAAUACUUUAAUCAGGCUCUCUAUCUCCUUUCCAUCUUUAGGGCCCCAACAGUCUUCUCUCAGAAUGAUAAAAGAUUUAAAAAGCGUAAUUAUUCAUCCCUCCAUUAUUUCCAAAUGUCUCUGUUAAAAUUAGAUUCUUCCAGACUGUGGACGCUUCAUGUUUUACCUCAGGAGGGCGAAUGCUGUCAAAGCAAUGAGACAUGAGCAGAGAAAUAUUCAAUCCAAGGUUUUAGAUGACUGCUAGUUAGCCCUAAAUGGUGAAAAAUAAAACAUGACUUUGCAGGCUUGGAGCGAUAAAAGAAUUUAAUCAAAUUGUUUUCUGGUAUGCUCCUUUUUUUUUUUUUUACAUGAGAUGAAAGCUUAUAUACAAUAAUAUUUUACUUUACACAUGAAGUAUCCAUUUAUACUCUUUUGAUUGUUAUAAAUUGCAUUGUUUGAGUUUGCCUCCAAGUUUACAUGGUGAAAAGUAUUACUGGGUUCUUACAGUGAUGUCAGAAUCCAAGUAAAGUGAAAGUUGAAGUUAUAUUGUAAGACUGAGCCGAUAUAGGAAUGUAAACCCGGGUUUAUCCAAUCACUGGCUGCAGCUUUUCCAGUCAAGUUCCUGAGUAAACACCAGCAAACUCUUUCAGCCACUGUUUGUGUUCCUUCCUCAGGCAUUAUAUGCGUCAAACCUGCUGAAAAAGUGUGAAGAAUGUUAUUCGUGGCUGUGGGCAGCUCCAGGUUUGACACUAACUCGAAGACAUUGCAGAGCGGCGCUCAGACAUCAGCUGCAGCUCUGUCAGCGGGAAACGGGAAAGAAAAAUGGAAAAGCAACGAGAGUCAGUCGCCAAUUACAGGAUUCUGACUCACAGCUGAGCCAUUAAUCAAAACUUUGAGCUCUGUCAGAGCUCAACAUCAGAGCCCAAAGCAACAGGCCUCACUACAGAUAGAUGGAUCCUCCGCAAAGAUGAAAAGGUAGACAUUUUGUGGAGAGGUAGAGAGAUAUAUGGACAGACUGAGAGUAAUGCAGCUGAUGAGCAGCCAUGACAGAUUUGAGAAACUGGCCUCUUCCUCCUAAUUAAUGUCAAACAUCCAGCUUGGCUCCAUCUGCGGCCGCCGGCAGCCACCGUGCUGGCUUCAAAAUUCCCAGCCACCGUCAAAAUCCUGGUGACAAAUCCUUCAUCAACCGCACACCCUUCCAACUGCAGGAUGCUUUUCACUCUGUUGCUUGUUGUUUAUACUCAUUUAGUACAGCGUAACCCCUCAUAUUCCAAUGAGACAAGAAACAAAGCAUGCACUUAUUAUUCAGUCUUUUGAGUUUGUCUGGAGGAAAUUAAACCUAAAAUUUAACCAACUCAAACUUGUGAAACAAAACAAAUCCUGACACUCUGCAUGACGUGACACUAAAUGUUUGAGCCAGAGUUUUCUGCAGCUGUGUUUCCAUUUACAAUAUAGUAGCACAAAUUGAAAUUAUGAAAAUAAGUUUACUUAAUGGAAACAUGGCAAUUUAGAAAAGCCUCAAGUGCUUUGACAAAAUAUUUUUGCACAACGAUGAGGUUGUUUUCUUGCUGCAUCAAAAUUUGUAUAUUUUGUAACACUUUUUUUCACAGCACACAAGUCAUAAUCAACAACUGGAUGUUGUUACUGUCUGGAAAAGACGAAGACGACAACAGAAAGUGGUAAGUGGAUGAUGGCAUGACAUGUUUUUUAAUUACUUAUUGUGUAAACAAAGUUAUUCACAUGUUUUUUAAAAUUGUGAUUCUUAUUUAAUAGAAGCACCGCAAUUGCGCUUUUUGUCAGAAUAUUAACAAAGUUUUGCACUCAUUUGUGACAGAAACGCAGCUUGUGAUUUACCUGACAAGUUUUAAACCAGCAACAUUUUUAAGAGCAGUGUAACAGUGACAAAACAUUAAACAUCAUCUUUCAUCAUGACUCCUGAUCAAAUCAUUGUUUCGUCUUAGGAAGGCAUGUUGCGCUACAGCCACCAUCAUCUAAGGUUGAAAUACCAGAGUUUAUGAAAAUGAUGAAUUAAUCAACUAUUCUGAGGACAGCCUUCUUUACUACUUUAUAAAUUACCUCUGAUGAAAGAUUAAAGCCUUUUUUAUCACUCUGCAGAUCCAGGAGAUCCAGUAACCUCCCUUUCCAAAGUCAAAACCUGAACACGCAGCUCUGACCCAUUAGAAUUCAGAAUCUGUUGGAGAAUACAUGAGAAUGUUAAUCAUGUAACUGUGGAGAGUCUGGGAUAAUUAAGCAUGUGGUAAGCUCCGUCCAAAUUAUUUAAGAUGCAGGAUGUCCUUCCACUCCUUUAUCUCCUUUUCUUUCUGCGUUCGUGUUCUCCCUCUCAUGGAAACACUGGCUGCUUUUACACACUCAGACAACUGCUCAGCUUAUUCAUUAAUUAAAGCAACUGCAUUACAUUUUCCGCUACAAUUUGCUAUUGAAACAUCACAAGAGAAGAGCAUGGUAGUGUUGGAAAUGUAAACCUCUCCUGCAUGUCUAUUAGGUUUUUGAGACACAACAGUGGUUAGAAAUUACAAAUAAUUCAGAACCUUCAUUAUUCCACAUUUCAUCUGAGGUUGUUUGUCUCUGUAUUGGCCUGUGAUGGACUGACAACCUGUUCAUUGUGUACUCUAACUCAUAGCUAAUCGCAGCUGGAAAUAGGCACCAGCUCCACUGUGACCCUGGAUGGACAAGCAGGUUCAAAAAAUGUAUUAAUGUAUACUAUUUUAUUUCUUUCAUUGUAAAGUUUCCAUUACUGUUCAGUCAUUUUUUGUUAUAAAACAAAUAAAGAUGGUGUUCCCUGAA